GAUGAACGCUGGCGGCGUGCCUAAUACAUGCGAGUCGAGCGAACAGACGAGGAGCUUGCUCCUCGGACGUUAGCGGCGGACGGGUGAGUAACACGUGGAUAACCUACCUAUAAGACUGGGAUAACUUCGGGAAACCGGAGCUAAUACCGGAUAAUAUAUUGAACCGCAUGGUUCAAUAGUGAAAGACGGUUUUGCUGUUACUUGUAGAUGGAUCCGCGCCGAAUUAGCUAGUUGGUAAGGUAACGGCUUACCAAGGCGACGAUGCGUAGCCGACCUGAGAGGGUGAUCGGCCACACUGGAACUGAGACACGGUCCAGACUCCUACGGGAGGCAGCAGUAGGGAAUCUUCGGCAAUGGGCGAAAGCCUGACGGAGCAACGCCGCGUGAGUGAUGAAGGUCUUCGGAUCGUAAAACUCUGUUAUUAGGGAAGAACAAAUGUGUAAGUAACUAUGCACGUCUUGACGGUACCUAAUCAGAAAGCCACGGCUAACUACGUG
rnacentral:rRNA from 1 species